GGAGCACAUGGAGUAAAACAUCUUCCUCUCUCCACAGCCACAGUAAUGGUAUUUAAAAGUAAUUAGCAAAUUGGAUGCUGCACAGCAGGAUGUCUUGAUGGGAGUCUCAAAAUAAACCUCUGCAUACACAGUUUGCCAUUCUGAUAUUUGUGCCUGCCAUAAAUAGCAAACACUUCCCAAAAAAGUAUAAGACUUAAGAAAAUCUUAGACAGGAUGACCUUGAGCUACUGCAGAAGGCACUUCCUUGAGAGAAAAGGGCUCUGAAAGAAAUGAAACUCAGCAGGAAACUGGCCCCUGUCACUGCUGUGUCAUUGUCACUUGAUGUGACAGCGGUCACCCGAGGGACACGGCUGCGGAACCUGCUCCCAGGGCUCCCGGUUCUCCGUAGCCUCAUGGAAAGGCUGAGAAGGAUGUAAACCUUCAGGACGGAGAUGAUGUUGACAUAACUUGCAGGAUUAGACCAGCUGCUUGCCCUGCCCAGCAACACCACUAUCAACACCAGAGCCUUUCCAUGGGGACUGCACUUCAUGCACACAAGGAGCUGGGAAAUGAGCACUGGCACUCGUGUCACUGCCCAGAGUAUUUGCUCAUAAACCUGUAAAGUCUGGUUUGUGACGUGUAAUCUCGGAAAUCGUAAGCCAUGAUGAGACUGCUACAUAACUAAAAUAAAUAAUAAAAUACAUUA